rnacentral:rRNA from 1 species
UACGUAGGGGGGCAAGCGUUUGUCCGGAAUCAUUGGGCGUAAAGAGCGUGUAGGCGGCCCGAUAAGUCCGCCGUGAAAGUCCAGGGCUCAACCCUGGAAUGCCGGUGGAAACGUGUCGGGCUGGAGUCCGGAAGAGGCGAGUGGAAUUCCUGGUGUAGCGGUGAAAUGCGCAGAUAUCAGGAAGAACACCAAUGGCGGAAGGCAGCUCUCUGGGACGGUGACUGGACGC